AUCUAGCUUCUUCUGUUAUUUAAUAGCAGCAAAAUCAGGGAAUAAAAGGUUACAAAGCAAGAACUUACUGCAGAAUCAUUCAUGGUUUGUCAUUCUCCUAACAAGCUAGAAUUUGAAGGAGGUUUUAUUUUAUUCUCAGUUCAUAAUCCAAAAUAAAACCAGAAGUUUUGCAAUAACUUUUAAGCUGAAAAAAUGAAAAGAGAAUUGUCUGCAAGGAAGAAAGGAAAAUAUGAAAUGGAUUUAUUUGGGAAGCUUAUAAACUCUUGUGGGCACCAUCUCUGAAGGGCUGCAAGAACAGAGAUCAAAUUUGUCCUCCAUUUCUGCAGCCUGCCAGAGGAGUUCCCUCCCCUCAAUUGACUAUAAUUAUAUGCCAGUCAGCAGAACCAUAGAGGAAAUGCAUCUCUUCCCUUGCAAAGAAUACUUUAAAUGUUGGCAUGGCAGUAAAAAUUGUUCCUUUCUUGAAUCCACAGGAAUGCUUGCUCUGCAUUCCUUUUCCAUCAGAGUUUCAAAGAACAAGGAUGUGGAAUUGGCUGUCUUCAUCAGCAUUGCAAUGAUAUAGACUUCACUGUUUGACUCAGGUACUCCCACCCUUGGGCAUAUCUAGAAAGCUGAUUAAAUUAGUUUCUGCCAGGUAA